UACGGAGGGUGCAAGCGUUAAUCGGAAUUACUGGGCGUAAAGCGUGCGCAGGCGGUUUUGUAAGUCUGUCGUGAAAUCCCCGGGCUUAACCUGGGAAUGGCGAUGGAGACUGGCAAGGCUAGAGUUUGGCAGAGGGGGUAGAAUUCCACGUGUAGCAGUGGAAAUGCGUAGAGAUGUGGAGGAACACCGAUGGCGAAGGCAGCCCCUGGGUCAAAACUGACGCUCAUGCACGAAAGCGUGGGGAGCAAACAGGAUUGAGA
rnacentral:rRNA from 1 species